rnacentral:tRNA from 1 species
UCCCAUGUGGCUCAGUUGGUAAAGCAUGGUGUUUGCAACGCCAGGGUUGUGGGUUUGAUUCCCACAGGGGAC